UUCAUGCAUAUCUCUUUCCUCUCCAACAUCCUCUUUUCUCCAGAUCUCUUCUAAGGAGUUUAUCUUCUUCAAUUUUCAUCUUCAGAUCUGUGUAGAUUGUUCCUUGAUCUACGUUUUGGAUAUGGAUUUGCCGUUGUUCUGUAUCAGAACAGUGAUUAGCCGGACGAAUGGCGUGACGGUUCGAUGUUUGUCGACUUUGGCCGACGGUUGACGAAGAGAUAGUAAAUCUGGUGCUUUUUUGUGCUGGUUUGAGGUAGAUGAGCAUCGUGGAGCAUCAGAUCUGUUCGUUCUUCAUAGAUUUGUGGAGGUUGGAGCUAACGUUUCAGCAACCGAGGUGUUAUCCUCGCGAUUGUUCAACCUUUGUUCGCAAGAGAUUUACUGAUUUGAUAAGAGAUGCAAGGAAUAUCCAAUUGGUGCCUCGUUGUCACGGAUAAAACAGUUUUGACCGGUUAUCAUCGGCCGAAGGUUGAUUCAGAGAACGUGAUGGUGGAUCUGAGGUUAUGAUGGUUUAAUUUUGAUGUUUAUAAUUAUUUAAAUGUUUUAUUUGCGUUAGUUUUUAAUUUAUACAUGCAUAUGUACGAGAGAUGAAAGAAUGAGUGAAGACGUGCGAGGUAUGAGAGGAAAAAAGUGAGGUAUUUAUUGUUCCAUGUUACCAGGCCUUUGCCAUGUUGGGUGCGCUCGCAUGGCAGGUCAAAAGAACCUAAUAAAAAUAUUUUUUUUGGUGUUGGAGAGGAGAGGCACGGGGUUUUGCCCGGAUCUCCUCUCUCUGUGUGUCGCGUCCUUUUUAUUUUUCAUGCUCUUCCCUUGCUCCUGCGUCCAACAAUUUUUGCAUCGAUCCAGUGGUUACUUGUUUUUCAAGGACAAGUAACUCAUGUUGAUUUGCUUAAUAAGGCGAUGGACAAAGCAACGAUUCUACUGCAGCACUCCACCAGAGGUAUAAUAUUAAUUCCCUUCGCGAAAUUUUACAUUCACACUUUCCAUAUCAGCUUCCAUAUCUAAAUUACUUUCCUUUAUAAUCACUAAGACACUAAUUGAUACUCGUAUUAUUUCUAAUCGCUAGUUUUAGAAUUAUUCCACAUCGUUUUGUUAUAAAGCUAAACUUUUAUUUCUUAUCACCUUUAACUUUUCAUUGAAGUAGCUUUAAACUAUUUUAUAAAUUAUUUUGGCAAGUCUCUUUUCUCACUUAUCCUUACAUGAUAUGCAAUAUAACCAUGAUAUUAUUUUAGAAAAUUUACGCUAAUUAAUAGUUAUUGGAGGUCAUGCACUUGUUUUUUUCUUCAAAAAUUGAAAUACUAACAACUACACAAGACAUUAAUUCUUCUGUAAGGCAUCAACUAUUAGUUGCGUUCGGACUUGGGCUUCGUUCUAAUAAUUAUUUAGCCUUCCAACAGCUCAAUUUUGAAGUAUUAUUUGAAUAUUAUUAGGUAUCUUUAGGUGAAUAAAAUAUACAUAUAAAAUAUGUUAUUCAAAAAGCCGUCUUCUCAAAAUAAGUUGCGUGUAAGAACCAUUAUCAAGGCAUAAGAAAGGCUUCAAACCAUUAUAUCUUCAAUUUCUUUUGCUUGAGGAUUGCUGUGUUACAACUCUUUUUUCAUUUUAUCACGUGGCUCUCUUUUUCAUUGGCAAUUAGUACCUUUUCUUCAUUGUAGAGGAGUUAAUUUCUUUCAGUAAUAUCUGUGGUAUGAGUUCUAGUGGGGAACAACUAUGUUUCUUUUAAUUGGUGUUGUAAGUGUUCCAAUCAUUGGGAGAUUCCUGUCAUGGCUCCCCUUUUGUAGCCCUCUGGAAGGGUACUUUUUUAGGCAGGUUUGGGAUUUUGACUGUUCAAUCAAUUCCGAUGUACUGGUUAGAUCUUUCGCAUCUCAGUUGAUGAUGGAUAUUUUUGCAACAUAAAACUUGGGAGUAUCUUUGUUUCUUGUUCGUGCUGGUUGAAGUCUCAACUUGUGCUGGGAAAGUGCUGCUUUCUUGAUGCAUGGAUGUUUUGAGUGAUGUUCUCAAGUAAUGUUUGAGCUGCUGCUGCUGCUGCUGCUGUUGAAGUCGAAGAUCUGAAGACUCGUUUGCUGCUGCUGUUGAAGUUGUAGAUUUGAGUUGUACUCUUGGUUUGUUCAGUGGUUGAGUAUAUUUACUUGAUUUUGAUGAUUCCGUGACACUUGAACUUGUCGCUGUUGCUUGUUAGAAGCUGUAUUGUGUAAUCAGUAAGACGCAAUAGUGGCCUGGUCAUUCUGUAUGCCAUUCUCUGUUCCGCGAGGAACUCUCAGAACAGGAUACUUGUUCUCAUACCAGAUUAUUGCAAGAGCAGAAGCUGUAGUUUUUCCCCUGUAGUACUUGCUCUCAAAAAACUUGUAGCAGAUAACCAUCUUCUCCUCUUGAGUCUUUAUUAAUCAUUCUGCUGCUACUCGAGGUCAGGACUUUAUUUCUAUUAGACUGGAAUGUAAAACGUGUUUUCAUGAUGUAUGGACACAAUUAACAGUUCUCAUGAAGGCCAGAUGGUGCGUUUAAUUCUCCUCUUUUGAAGGUGCUGUUCUGCUGUGCGUAAUGGUUUGAAGUUUCAUUUUUAAUACUACAGUGAUUACUUUUUGGGUAAACUGUGUGAAUACCGAUAAUUUGGUUUUUGGCUCUGUAUUUUUCGUUUCUAGAAAAUGUCCGUGCUUGCCGGAAUGUUGUGUCGAGAGUAGCUUGGGGUGUCUUCUUGGUCGUGAAAGAUUUGUCUUUUUAAUAUGAUAUUUGAGUUAUUGUGGUU